rnacentral:misc_RNA from 1 species
CCUUAAAGAACCUGCCUUUGUAGUGCUCACACAGAUUGUCUGAUGAACGUAAAGAAGCAAGGCGUCUUGCGAUUGAGACUUCAGUGUCCCCUUCGUCUAGAGGCCCAGGACACCGCCCUUUCACGGCGGUAACAGGGGUUCGAAUCCCCUAGGGGACGCCACUUGCUGGUUCGUGAGUGAAAGACGCGUGCCGAUGUAUCUCAAAACUCAUCUUCGGGUGACGUUUGAGAUAUUUGCUCUUUAAAAAUCUGGAUCAAGCUGAAAAUUGAAACGACACACAGUUAAUGUGUGUUCGAGUCUCUCAAAUUUUCGCAAUCUGAAGACAUCUUCGGGUUGUGA